UUAAUCACCUUGUGCUAGACAUAAUAAUAAUAACAAAAAUAAAAAUUAUUACGGCUUUUCCAGGGUGAGGUUCAUCAAUUGCACUCUGGGUGGGCUGACCCNUGCGAUUUCUCUUCAUACGGGAAACUCGACUGCAUAAUUUGUGGUAGUGGGGGACCCCAUUCACGCUUUCCCUUG
rnacentral:snRNA from 1 species